rnacentral:tRNA from 1 species
UAAUGAAUGUUAAAUAGAUUUACUAUAUUUGAUUACGGUUCAAAGUGAUAUACAUUUU